AUUAGCUCAGUUGGUUAGAGUCUGGUGUUAAUAACACCUAGGUUUGUGGGUUCAAUCCCCAUAU
rnacentral:tRNA from 1 species